rnacentral:rRNA from 1 species
AAUCAACGCUGGCGGCGUGCCUCAGACAUGCAAGUCGAACGCGAAAGUUUCCUUCGGGAGAUGAGUAGAGUGGCGCACAGGUGAGUAACACGUGAGUAAUUUACCUUCGGGUGGGGAAUACUAACCGGAAACGGUUGUUAAUACCGCAUAAUGCAGCGGCAUCAAUGAUGACAGUUGUUAAAGCGGGGGAUUGGAGCAAUCCGACCUCGCGCCUGAAGAGAAGCNCGCGGCAGAUUAGCUAGUUGGUAAGGUAAUGGCUUACCAAGGCGACGAUCUGUAACCGGCCUGAGAGGGCGGUCGGUCACACUGACACUGAAUAACGGGUCAGACUCCUACGGGAGGCAGCAGUCGGGAAUUUUGGGCAAUGGGCGCAAGCCUGACCCAGCAACGCCGCGUGAAGGA